UGCGCUCACAGUGAAGCCUGUGACUUAUUCUGAAGAACACUAAUUUCACAUGCUGUGGCUUGGACCUUAUGUUAGUGCUGGGAAUACUGCUACACCUGGUUUGUGUAUAACGGGGUCUGCAGGUGAAACAACCCGAAGGGAGAUUUUUGAGUCAGAUCAAGAUUCCCCAGCAAAGCAUCAGGAUAGAAAUCAAGAAAAACAGCAAGAUUCCUAACAAAAGGUAUGUCCACACGUGACACAUGUUGACCUCAUGCCAGAUAUGUGUUUAUAAAAACACUUUACAUGUUGUGUGCUAAUGUAAAAAUUCAUAACUAGAGACGUGUUGUUCAGCUAACAUACUGCAACAAGAAACAAAAAAGGAACAUCGGUUGGUUGAAGACUUAAUCGAACUCACAAUGAAGGCUUGUCUUGUUGGAUGUCAUGUAUAUACUACUGACAUGUACAAAGCAAGGGCAGGAACUGCUUUCUCUUCACUUCUCCGUGUACCAUAGCCUGAGACAUCCUGCAUGUGAACUUCACUCAGAGAUGGAGAAAGAUAAACACAACAGACCAGGAGAGGAGGAAGCGCAGUUAUAUUCAAAGAUGGAGUGAUGGACAGCAGAGUAUGUGAACUUCAGUGUAAACGAGGCCAGACUCCAUUAUUCCUGCUGUGAUGGAGAUCCCCAUCCUGCUGCCACUCGCCCUGGCCUUGCUGGGGUUUCUGUGCCCAUGUGUGACAACACUGACUCCCAGAGUCUCCUUCCUCAUGGAUAGUCCUGGGAGACGUCUCAUCCGCUUCAACAGCCACGAUGUCAGCAACACCACCACGCUGCUGCUCAGUGAGGAUGGGGACAUAUUAUAUGUUGGAGCCCGGGACUCUGUGUUAGCGCUGAAUGUUAGCCACAAAGACAGCAUCAUACUGAGG